UCAGCCAGGCGAUUUUAGCAGAUGGCUUGGUAAAUACCUAACCAUGUGUUCAUGUGGAGAAACUAGAAUGCAUCACGACAAAACAGACGCACAUUUCCCCAACCUCACACAACACUUUCACAUGAAGCACUCAUUAUUCUCCCUUUCUCUACUUUUUAAAGGUGUUUUUAUGCUUAUUCUGAUGCAACUAGUGAUUGUAAUAAAUCCAUCCAUCAAUUAUCAUUUAACAUCUACAACAUUUGACUUAUCAUUUGUAAAAAUACAAUUUGUUAAAAUUAGGAGCACAACAAAUUAAGACCGCCUCGCCGCUCAGGUUUCUAGGAUCUGAAAGACCGACUGAACGUAGCUGGGUCACAGCAAACUUCCAUCUUUUCAGCGUAAAGCAAACCAACCCAGCUGUUGUUGCAGCUCAGCAACAGACCCUGCUAUUAACACUAAGGCCCCAUCAGUGACCCAGCACUCAACACCAUGCUCUUUCACACAGCAGCAUGGCAUCACCUCUGCUCCUGGUGUAAAUAAUGGAUGACCACCCAACAGCUGGAAGGGGAGGCUGGGGCUGAUGGCGUUGGCCGGGUGGUUCGGCGGUCUUUGUGGUGUUCUACUCCGCUUGCCGUUUCAUCCGGGGAUGGGGGCAACAAUUCUGAGUGCUACUCUGCCGGACAGAACAC